rnacentral:rRNA from 1 species
UACGAAGGGGGCUAGCGUUGUUCGGAAUCACUGGGCGUAAAGGGCGCGUAGGCGGCCGAUCAAGUCGGGGGUGAAAGCCUGUGGCUCAACCACAGAAUGGCCUUCGAUACUGUUUGGCUUGAGACCGGAAGAGGUCAGUGGAACUGCGAGUGUAGAGGUGAAAUUCGUAGAUAUUCGCAAGAACACCAGUGGCGAAGGCGGCUGACUGGUCCGGUUCUGACGCUGAGGCGCGAAAGCCAGGGGAGCGAACGGG